rnacentral:lncRNA from 1 species
AGAAACCUGAUUUCUGACAGAAGAUUAAUCCAAAGAGAAUUCUUUUAGCAGCUUAGAGAAGCUUCCUGGCUUUUUACUGAUCUUUUGGGUGAUCUGAGUCCUACCACUAAUUUCUUCCUUUAUGCCAUUUUCAGCUGUUCUUUGUUGCUAUUAGGACACAGUGCAGAUUAAGGAUUAGUUGCUUCUGUCUGCAGUUCAGACCUCAGGCAUACCAAAUAUAUUGGGUCACACCUCUCUCUGCUGUAGAGGAACGUGAUUUCUCAUGCCAAUGAAAAACAAAGUUGUUGACAAUUAAAGGAAGAGAAAACCAAGAAAUUUCAUUGCCAAAGAGAGAUAAGUUGAAGAAGGAUUAAGAAAAAAUUGGCCCCAGGCAAGCCUGCUGCUGAACAUGGCUUCCUGAAGGAUCAUCUGCCUUCCAGUUUGGGAUCUGGUCCACACUCACCUGUGCUUCUGGGGGCUAGGAAACAGCCCAGAUCCCUUGACUACUUGUUGUCAUUGUGACGAGCACCACAACUGUACUGAUGGAUAUCUUUGUGGGACUCACUCUUACUCACCAUCACUGGAGUUAAUUUAUCAGAAUGCCGAUUUAUCAGAAAUUAAACUCCAAGUAAGACUGCUUCACUUAGCAUUCUGCAAAUCUGAGAAUUCCGUUGUCAUCGUCUUCUUUCUCUGUAAUUUCUCCUGAAUCCCAGGCACUCCAUCCUGGAGUUCCAUUAGAAAGAAAUCUGCAUUUUUAUGCUAUCUAGAAAAAUCAAUGGUUUAGCAAAAAAAAAAAAAAAAAAAUCUCUGAAAAUUCACACGCACAAAAAAGUUCUCUUCUAAACUUCAGUUGACAAAAUGAAUGUAGCGUGCUUGGAGCUUGCUCUAUUUGAUAGAGGAGAAAUUUUUGUUUUCUGUAUUAUUUCUGGUAUGUAUGAAUUAUCAGAAUAUUUCUGGUUGAGUUGAACCUUGCUCUUACUUUUCCUCUUUUGUUUUUUUCCCUCUAUAGUGGCUAUAUUAUUAUUAUUAUUAUUACAGUUUUGAUGUUUCUUUUGU